rnacentral:rRNA from 1 species
AGACCCGAAACCCGGUGAUCUAGCCAUGGGCAGGUUGAAGGUUGGGUAACACUAACUGGAGGACCGAACCGACUAAUGUUGAAAAAUUAGCGGAUGACCUGUGGCUGGGGGUGAAAGGCCAAUCAAACCGGGAGAUAGCUGGUUCUCCCCGAAAGCUAUUUAGGUAGCGCCUCGUGAAUUCAUCUCCGGGGGUAGAGCACUGUUUCGGCUAGGGGGCCAUCCCGGCUUACCAACCCGAUGCAAACUGCGAAUACCGGAGAAUGUUAUCACGGGAGACACACGGCGGGUGCUAACGUCCGUCGUGAAGAGGGAAACAACCCAGACCGCCAGCUAAGGUCCCAAAGUCAUGGUUAAGUGGGAAACGAUGUGGGAAGGCCCAGACAGCCAGGAUGUUGGCUUAGAAGCAGCCAUCAUUUAAAGAAAGCGUAAUAGCUCACUGGUCGAGUCGGCCUGCGCGGAAGAUGUAACGGGGCUAAACCAUGCACCGAAGCUGCGGCAGCGACGUUUAUGCGUUGUUGGGUAGGGGAGCGUUCUGUAAGCCUGCGAAGGUGGCCUGUGAGGGUUGCUGGAGGU